GGGGAAUAUUGCGCAAUGGGGGAAACCCUGACGCAGCAACGCCGCGUGGGUGAUGAAGGUCUUCGGAUUGUAAAGCCCUGUUUUCUGGGACGAUAAUGACGGUACCAGAGGAGGAAGCCACGGCUAACUACGUGCCAGCAGCCGCGGUAAUACGUAGGUGGCGAGCGUUGUCCGGAUUUACUGGGCGUAAAGGGUGCGUAGGCGGAUGUUUAAGUGGGAUGUGAAAUCCCCGGGCUUAACCUGGGGGCUGCAUUCCAAACUGGAUAUCUAGAGUGCAGGAGAGGAAAGCGGAAUUCCUAGUGUAGCGGUGAAAUGCGUAGAGAUUAGGAAGAACACCAGUGGCGAAGGCGGCUUUCUGGACUGUAACUGACGCUGAGGCACGAAAGCGUGGGUAGCAAAC
rnacentral:rRNA from 1 species